CACCGGCACACCGUUCAGCUUGAACGGGCCGGUAACGAGCAGCAGGCCCGAAGGCAGCUGGCCCAGGAAGAUGACACGCUUGCCCUUGAAGCGACCGGCCAGCAGAAUCAGCACGGUGCCUGGCGUGAUGCUGGCGCGCAGCUUGGUCUGCUUGUGCACAGCGUUGUGCGACAGAGGCUUGGGCACAUCAUCGGCGGGGUAAAAGCGGGGAGCCUUGCCCUCAGCCUGCUUGGCCAC
rnacentral:lncRNA from 1 species